GGAGUUUGGACCGUCUCUCAGUUCCAAUGUGGCCGAUCACCCUCUCAGGUCGGCUACCGAUCGUCGACUUGGUGGGCCGUUACCUCACCAACUAUCUAAUCGGACGCGAGCUCACCCCAAACCGGUUUGCACCUUUUACCCCUGUACCAUGCGAUACUGUGGUCUCAUGCGGUAUUAGCACCUGUUUCCAAGUGUUAUCCCCCUGUCUGGGACAGAUUGCUCACGCGUUACUCACCCGUCCGCCACUAGAAUGUACCAUUCGUUGAACCGAAGUCCGCUGAUCAGUACAUCCCCGUUCGACUUGCAUGUGUUAAGCACGCCGCCAGCGUUCGUCCUCGAGCCAUGAUCAAACUACU
rnacentral:rRNA from 1 species